UACGUAGGCAGCGAGCGUUGUUCGGAAUUACUGGGCGUAAAGAGUGUGUAGGCGGUGCUCCCAGUCUGUUGUGAAAUCUCCCGGCUUAACUGGGAGGGUGCAGCGGAAACUAGAGUGCUAGAGGGUGGGAGAGGUAAGCGGAAUUCCUGGUGUAGCGGUGAAAUGCGUAGAUAUCAGGAGGAACACCUGUGGUGUAGACAGCUUACUGGACCACUUCUGACGCUGAGACACGAAAGCGUGGGUAGCAAACGGG
rnacentral:rRNA from 1 species